rnacentral:precursor_RNA from 10 species
UUGUAAACCAUGAUCCUGAGAUGCCAUUACCAUCUUACUGGGCAGCAUUGGAUGUUUUCUGUCUUUCUAAUACUGCCUGGUAAUGAUGAUUAUGGUGUUUCGUGUACAACGUGGGAAAGU